rnacentral:rRNA from 1 species
GAUGAACGCUGGCGGCGUGCCUAAUACAUGCAAGUCGAGCGAACAGACGAGGAGCUUGCUCCUCUGACGUUAGCGGCGGACGGGUGAGUAACACGUGGAUAACCUACCUAUAAGACUGGGAUAACUUCGGGAAACCGGAGCUAAUACCGGAUAAUAUAUUGAACCGCAUGGUUCAAUAGUGAAAGACGGUUUUGCUGUCACUUAUAGAUGGAUCCGCGCCGCAUUAGCUAGUUGGUAAGGUAACGGCUUACCAAGGCAACGAUGCGUAGCCGACCUGAGAGGGUGAUCGGCCACACUGGAACUGAGACACGGUCCAGACUCCUACGGGAGGCAGCAGUAGGGAAUCUUCCGCGAUGGGAAAGCCUGACGGAGCAACGCCGCGUGAGUGAUGAAGGUCUUCGGAUCGUAAAACUCUGUUAUUAGGGAAGAACAAAUGUGUAAGUAACUAUGCACGUCUUGACGGUACCUAAUCAGAAAGCCACGGCUAACUACGUG